CCCUGACAGUCGCAUUGGGCGGCUGACACUAGCCACGACAGGAGAAUGACAUG
rnacentral:ncRNA from 1 species